GUGUAAUUGAUUUGCUUUUUUCGCUGUUUAUUUUUUCGUUUUAAUUUUAAUUUUCUUUCAUUUUGAUUAUUCCGACAGUUUUAAGUGGCUUUAAAUGUAUAUUAAAUGGUAAUUCUACUGGUUCAUCUGUGUGGUCUACGGUCAACUGUUAUUUUGGAAGGACUAACCCGGAAUCGCAACUGCAAAGAAGACUUUUGAUUUUUCCGAUUUCUAUUAGGAAAUAUUUACGGUUUAUUGCUGGUCAAGUGGCACGUUUUGUUAGGAUCUCUGGUUGCGUUUGGAAGACAGUUUCAUUGACAAUAUCUGCUUGGACCAGUUGUGAUACAGUUCAUUGGCAAUGGCUUUCAUUUUAUAAAAUUUUGUAUUCAUACAUUUACUCUUGGUUUAUUUGAAUGGCGUUACAAUUUGAAUAACUGAACCUGAUAUCAUUUUUACAACCUUAAGCUCAUCUUGAAUGGUGUUAAGUCAAAUUUUGAAUCUUUCUUUGGUUUCUAUUGUGUGUUUAUGAUAAACUAUACCAAACUACACCAUGAACCAACCCAUCAACCAACAUCAACCUAAGAUUAAAUUGUGAUCGACAUUAACGCUGUUCAACUUACAAUGCAAACUGCUUUCUCAUCACACAAAUUGCCAGUUAAGUGGAAAUCAUCUGCAAGUCGAUUGGGCCAAUAGUUACACAAGAAAUGAAUCUUGAAUGAUUUCAUUGAAAAUUACUCGUCCCAAUUUAAAUUAUUCAUCGGAAAACAAUUUUCAAUUGAUUGAAAAUUAAAAAGUGAAAGAAAAUGGAUCGUUAAAAUAUUCAAAAGAUUAAACUUGUCAUGGAAUGAUAAAUUCAUGGUAAAGAAGCAAAAUUUUGAGCCAAGCAUCACAAAAUUCAAAAUUUGCUUUCGACUGACUUCAACAAUUUUCCCUCUCAUUUGUUAAAGUUUAUUCAAAUGGCCUUUAAUCAGCAAAAUAAUAUCAAAUUGAAAUGGUCGCAUUAAUCAUGCACAUUGUAAGCAAAAAAUUUGCAAAAAAAAGAGUUUGUUUUUUAUUCUUUUUUUAUUCAAUUUUAUUUCUUUUCCUGCAAACUCAGAACAUUUCAUCUGAAAAUCAGUCGUAACCAUGUAACAGUAUCAUGUACAAAUCUAAUGAAUUGCCCGGAGAUAAAUGAAUGAAAAACUUGUCUUCACUUGAUUAUUCCAUUGGAACAUUCACCAUGGGAACUUGGGAAUUUACAUUUUUCUUUACAUUUUUAUUCAACUUUUAGUGAAACAAAAAAUGAAUAGCAAAAUGAAAGAAGCUUCAAGAAAAAGGAAAAUUUUUUGUUCAUUUUUUUUCUCUUCUCUUCAUGUUUUCAAAUUCUGUUGAUUCUUGAGAAAAGCAUUUCCAUGCGAAAAGAGUUGCAGGGAAAAAAUAUGAAGCAAAUUAUUGGACCCAAGAAAGGGUUCAAGGAAUGACAAUAACAAGCUUAGCUACUUAUUGACAUGGAAACGAUGUUUAUCAUUCAACAUGGAACUGCAUGGAAAAAGAAAACUGAAGAGUCUAUUCAGAUUUUGCAUCUUCAUUCACCUCAAUACUUCGAAUUUGGAAAAAAAGAAAAAAAUUGAAACUUUUUUCAUCAUUUUUUGCUUCCAUUUUUACCUUCAUUGUAACCGGAAACCAAAAACAAAACAAGAAUAUUUAUUUAAAUGAAAAUUCAUUGGUUGAUGGAAAUGUUAAUUCUUGGAAUGAACUGAGAAGCGAUAAAAUGGAAACGAAUCCAGGAAAAGGAAAGAAAAGAAAUUAGCUUCGAAUUUCAAGAUGGAAAAAUAAUCUUGCAAAUGGAUGAAUAACUUGAUUCCAAUUGAAAAGUACAUAUUUUAUUUCUCUCUUUUAUCCCCAUCUUCAUGAACCUUCAUGUGAAUUUCUGCUUCCAUCAUCAAUAUCUUUUGUGCGGCUGAUAAAAGAAUCUCAAUUUUCACUUGAAAAAUGUUCUAUGGUAAAAUAUAAUUUCCUUCCUGAGAAUCGAUUCACUGAAUUCACUGAUUUUAACUGAAACCCAAUCAGCACGAACCGAAAAUGAACCUCAACUAGAUUCAUUCAAGGAACAGAUUCAUAAAAAUUUUCGAAAACCUGAACCUGAGAAAAUUGACCUCAAAUGUUCAAGCUGCUCAUUUGGAAACGAAUCCGGAUAGACGAUAAAAGGACUGAAAGUACCGCAAAGUUGAUCAACUCUAGUUAAACAAAAGCCAUUUGAAACUCGCUGGAGCCCGAAAGUACUCAGAAUUGCAAAAGUGUCGUUUCAACCUCAACUUGCCUUCAUAUUUAUCUUGAUCACGAACUGAAUCUGCAAAUGUUGAAACCAUUAUCAAGUUAAAGGUAAAAAUUAUCCAAAGUCUAAUAUUAAACACAAGCUAUUGGAAGCAUUUUUCAUUGAUCGUGAAAGUCUAUUUAAACUUACACCAAGUCCAUUGCAAUUGGUAUAAAUUGUUGCUUCUUUAAUCAAACAAAAGCCAACAAGCAUCUUGAUGCCAAUGGACAGGGAAAAAAGUGCGAUCCAAAUGAAAACAUUGUUAUUGUACAAAUUAGAAAAGAUAAUAAG